AGAGUUUGAUCCUGGCUCAGAACGAACGCUGGCGGCGCGUCUUAAGCAUGCAAGUCGAACGGCAAGAGAGAAGCUUGCUUCUCUCCUAGAGUGGCGGACUGGUGAGGAACACGUGGGUAAUCUGCCCUUAAGAUGGGGAUAGCUGCUAGAAAUAGCAGGUAAUACCGAAUACACUCGGCACUUCACAAGAGGUGUUGAGGAAAGGAAGCUAUGGCUUCGCUUGAGGAUGAGCUUGCGUCCCAUUAGCUAGUUGGUGAGGUAAAGGCUCACCAAGGCGACGAUGGGUAUCCGGCCUGAGAGGGUGAUCGGCCACAUUGGGACUGAGACACGGCCCAAACUCCUACGGGAGGCAGCAGCUAAGAAUAUUCCGCAAUGGACGGAAGUCUGACGGAGCGACGCCGCGUGGAUGAAGAAGGCUGAAAAGUUGUAAAAUCCUUUUGUUGAUGAAGAAUAAGGGUGAGAGGGAAUGCUCAUCUGAUGACGGUAAUCGACGAAUAAGCCCCGGCUAAUUACGUGCCAGCAGCCGCGGUAACACGUAAGGGGCGAGCGUUGUUCGGAAUUAUUGGGCGUAAAGGGCAUGUAGGCGGUUGUGUAAGCCUGGUGUGAAAUCCUGGGGCUUAACCCCAGAAUAGCAUUGGGUACUGCACGACUUGAAUUACGGAAGGGAAACUGGAAUUCCAAGUGUAGGGGUGGAAUCUGUAGAUAUUUGGAAGAACACCGGUGGCGAAGGCGGGUUUCUGGCCGAUAAUUGACGCUGAGAUGCGAAAGUGUGGGGAUCGAACAGGAUUAGAUACCCUGGUAGUCCACACUGUAAACGAUGUACACUAGGUGUUGGGGCAAGAGCUUCAGUGCCAAAGCAAACGCGAUAAGUGUACCGCCUGGGGAGUAUGCCCGCAAGGGUGAAACUCAAAGGAAUUGACGGGGGCCCGCACAAGCGGUGGAGCAUGUGGUUUA
rnacentral:rRNA from 1 species